UACGGAGGGGGCUAGCGUUGUUCGGAAUCAUUGGGCGUAAAGGGCGCGUAGGCGGCUUGGCAAGUGGAUGGUGAAAUCCCUCGGCUUAACCGAGGAACUGCCGUCCAAACUGCUUUGCUUGAGGCCGGGAGAGGUGAGUGGAAUUCCCAGUGUAGCGGUGAAAUGCGUAGAUAUUGGGAGGAACACCAGUGGCGAAGGCGGCUCACUGGACCGGUACUGACGCUGAUGCGCGAAAGCGUGGGGAGCAAACGGG
rnacentral:rRNA from 1 species